rnacentral:rRNA from 1 species
AUUGAACGCUGGCGGCAGGCCUAACACAUGCAAGUCGAACGGUAACAGGAAGAAGCCUGCUUCUUUGCUGACGAGUGGCGGACGGGUGAGUAAUGUCUGGGAAACUGCCUGAUGGAGGGGGAUAACUACUGGAAACGGUAGCUAAUACCGCAUAACGUCGCAAGCCCAAAAAGGGGGACCUUCGGGCCUCUUGCCAUCGGAUGUGCCCAGAUGGGAUUCGCUAGUAGGUGGGGUAACGGCUCACCUAGGCGACGAUCCCUAGCUGGUCUGAGAGGAUGACCAGCCACACUGGAACUGAGACACGGUCCAGACUCCUACGGGAGGCAGCAGUGGGGAAUAUUGCACAAUGGGCGCAAGCCUGAUGCAGCCAUGCCGCGUGUAUGAAGAAGGCCUUCGGGUUGUAAAGUACUUUCAGCGGGGAGGAAGGGAGUAAAGUUAAUACCUUUGCUCAUUGACGUUACCCGCAGAAGAAGCACCGGCUAACUCCGUG